UACGCCAUGUGCAAAAUAGAAAAGAUAGCGAUAUCUUGUGCUCUAUCUGCCAAAGGGAAGAAGGGAUUUACUUGAGGCACUACGACAUGCACGAAGCGGGCGAGGGGAGUAUCAACAAAAACUACCCUGGGAAAUAUUCAGAUACACAACGUGAAUGAAAGUUCUUUUCCUAAAUGGGUCGCUAUGAAUUACAUUUGUAAUCCCAGCACUGGGGAAGUGGAAGAAGGAAGAUCGGGAGUUCAAAGUCAGCCUGGACUGCAGGAGGCCCUGUGACCAAAACCGUUUUGGGUUUUGUUGUUGUUAUUUUGUGGUUUUGUUUUUAAUAAAUUGUGGACCACUGCAUGAAUGUGAGUCUUUUCGUUCUCUUGAAUGGAGAUGUAGGUUAGUCAGGAAUAAAAAGGACCAUUUAAAUUUCCUACAUGCCUCUUCUGAUAUUCCUGUGUACAUUGUGAGGUCAGUUGCUUAAGAAUACCUUAUAAAGUAGUAAAUUAAAUAUUAAUAGGAGACUUUGUAAUUUAACAGACAUUUCUUUGAUUUGACCCUUGCAGCAUCUCCGCCAGGCGGGUGUAAUUAACUUGCCCAUCCUGUGAAUGGGAAGGCACAGCUGUUCAGGAACUGGUGAACCACGGGCUACAUAGUAGUACCCUGUCUCAAAAGGCAGUAACAAACGGCUGGAGAGAUGGCUCAGUAUUUCAGAGCAAUGGCCUCUUCCAGAGGAGCUGGGUUUUAUUCCCAGCAUUCAUGAGGUAGCUCACAACCAUUUAUAAUCCAGGAGUUCCUCAGGUGCUGCACAGAUGUAGUCCACAACACGAAUGUAGUGUCACAACAUGAAUGUAGUGCACAGACAUGCAGGCCAAACACCCAUUGCAGAAAAUAAAUUCUUAAAAAGGCAACAAAAACCUAACUCUUGGCCAGCUGGUGAUGCACACACCUUUGAUCCCAGCACUUGGGAGGCAGAGGCAGAUGGUUCUCUGAGUUCGAACUGGACUAUAUAACUAGUUCCAGAACAGCGAAGGCUGUUACAUAGUGAAGCCCUGUCUCAAAAAAACAAACAAACAAACCUGACUUUUAUGAUAAGUCAAAUAUGCGUAACAAUGGUUGGAGUUAAUUCUCCAUCUUUUACAUAAGUCCUUACAAUUACUAACUAUAUCCCUAGUUAAAAAUAAGUCCCUGAUACAGGUUUAAAAGCAGGACCCACAUAAGUAAAUGACAAAGCAAGGUUUUAAAUUUAGCAGCCUGGGCUGUGGAGAAGGUUCAGCAAGUAAAGACACUUGCUUUGCAAGCCUGGUGACCUGGAUGCAAUCUUCAGAAGCCACUCAUGUGAUAGUGGAGAACUAUCUUCACAAAACUUUCCUCUGACCUCCAACAUGUACACACACCAAUGAGAGAAGCUUUAUUUGUUACAAGUUUGGGCAGCUUGGAUCCAGAGUCUACACCUUCAGCCAAUGGUAGUCCUCUAGCUUAAUGUUCAGCAAGAAUGCAUGAAAGUCCUGGCAAGAUGCCAAAUUUCUGGUUGUCUAGUUAGGGCCAGAUCCUGGUUCUAACAAACUCCCAAUAACAAUGCUAGUGCUCAUAUCAUUUUACAUCUUCCCUCUUUUUCCUUUCAUUCAUUGGUGGUUUUUGUUAUUGUUUUAGAGACAAGAUCUCACCAUGUAUUCUAGGUUGGCCUCAAACUUGAGAUCCUCCUGCCUCAGCCUCCUGAGUGCUAGGAUCACAAGUAUGUGCCACUGUGCCUAGCUCUUAAACAUAUUGAUUUUGUAGCUAAGGCUGUAAUAAUAGCCUCUCUAUGCUAUCUCUGACUGCUUUGUAUUUCCAAAUGUUCCCAGUGUCUUUUCUCUUAAGGAUCAUAUUUAAACUACCCUUCUCCCUUACAUCUCGUGAAACUUACUCUGGCCCUACCAGUCUCUCUAGCAUGAGAUAGACAUUCCCAUGUCCUGACACUUAUCAUGUUACAGAGCUCAAAACAUAGAGUUAAGGUUAUUUGAAAUUCCUAGCUACAACAAGCUCUUUAUGGAAAGGGAGCCUAGCACAUAAUAAAAUAAUAACUAAAAUAUAUUCGCAGCUUUCUCUAUUUCAGGUGCUGUUCCAUAUGUUAGCUUCCUUAAUCCAUACUAUAAUCUGAUAUUAACUGCAUUAGUCAUAGUUCUCUAUAGGAACAGAACUGAUAGAAUAAAUAAAUACAUACAUACAUACAUAUAUGGAAUUUACUGGAGUGGCUUAUAGGCUGUAGUCCAACUAGUCCAACAACAGCUGUCUUCCAACAGAAGGUCCAAGAAUCUAGUAGUUGUUCAGUCCAUGAGAUUGGGUAUCUCAGCUGGUCUUCAGUACACACUGGAAUCCUGAGCAAGUAGGCUCUGUGCCAGUGAGGGAAUAGACUUGCCAGAAAGAGCAAGUAAAGCAAAGACAGCAAGCUUCCUUCUUCCGUGUCCUUCCUAUGGGCGGCCAGUGGAAUAUGUGGCUCAGAUUAAAGAUGGAUCUACUCACCUCAGAUGAUCCAGAUGAAAAGUAAAUCUUCCCACUUCCAACACUUCAGUUAAGGAAAAAAAAAAAUCC